rnacentral:rRNA from 1 species
GAUGAACGCUGGCGGCGUGCCUAAUACAUGCAAGUCGAGCGAACAGACGAGGAGCUUGCUCCUCUGACGUUAGCGGCGGACGGGUGAGUAACACGUGGAUAACCUACCUAUAAGACUGGGAUAACUUCGGGAAACCGGAGCUAAUACCGGAUAAUAUAUUGAACCGCAUGGUUCAAUAGUGAAAGACGGUUUUGCUGUCACUUAUAGAUGGAUCCGCGCCGCAUUAGCUAGUUGGUAAGGUAACGGCUUACCAAGGCAACGAUGCGUAGCCGACCUGAGAGGGGGAUCGGCCACACUGGAACUGAGACACGGUCCAGACUCCUACGGGAGGCAGCAGUAGGGAAUCGUCCGCAAUGGGCGAAAGCUUGACGGAGCAACGGCGCGUGAGUGAUGAAGGUCUUCGGAUCGUAAAACUCGGUUAUUAGGGAAGAACAAAUGUGUAAGUAACUAUGCACGUCUUGACGGUACCUAAUCAGAAAGCCACGGCUAACUACGUG